GGCUGGGUAGCUCAGUGGUAGAGCGUCUGACUACACACAAGCAUCAUUAUAGUAUUCUCAGUGGUCAGAAGGUAGCAGGUUCAAUUCCUGUCCCGGUCA
rfam:Pochonia chlamydosporia 170 chromosome 6, whole genome shotgun sequence.